rnacentral:rRNA from 1 species
UACUCUUGACAUCCAGAGAACUUUCCAGAGAUGGAUUGGUGCCUUCGGGAACUCUGAGACAGGUGCUGCAUGGCUGUCGUCAGCUCGUGUUGUGAAAUGUUGGGUUAAGUCCCGUAACGAGCGCAACCCUUAUCCUUAUUUGCCAGCGAGUAAUGUCGGGAACUCUAAGGAGACUGCCGGUGACAAACCGGAGGAAGGUGGGGAUGACGUCAAGUCAUCAUGGCCCUUACGAGUAGGGCUACACACGUGCUACAAUGGCCGGUACAGAGGGCUGCAAACUCGCGAGAGCAAGCUAAUCUCACAAAACCGGUCGUAGUCCGGAUCGCAGUCUGCAACUCGACUGCGUGAAGUCGGAAUCGCUAGUAAUCGUGAAUCAGAAUGUCACGGUGAAUACGUUCCCGGGCCU